AAAAUCUUCCAGCUCCAACUCAGUGCUGAAGUGGAACAUUUCCCCUUUCUCGGAUAAUUAGCACAACACUAGUACAAGAAUUAUCAGAAAGUAAAGAUUCACUCUUGUGGGGGAGGGAGAAAGAGACAAUUAUGUGACAAUUCUCAUGAAAUGUUUGGAGUUUCUACAGUAGAAUGAAGAGUCAGAGACACAAAAUUAAAGGUGCAUACUUUAUCCAACUUCUCAAAAGAAUCAGCUCGUCUCGGCACCCAUCCUCUGAUAGCUUCACCAGCAACAGCAGCAAGCCAAGGUGGCCAUCCAGCAGCAACAUGCUCCCCUUCACUCCCUUUUGCUAAUAUCCCAAUUCCAGGAUGAUGUGUAGCAACAAUAAACUCUUGCUUUUCCCUUUUCCUCUCAUAAUUCUCACCUGCUCCCCUUCACUCCCUUUUGGUAAUAUCCCAAUUCCAGGAUGAUGUGUAGCAACAAUAAACUCUUGCUUUUCUCUUUUCCUCUCAUAAUUCUCACUCUGCAAUCUUACUGAACCAUUUACUUGUUUAUCAAUU
rnacentral:lncRNA from 1 species